CUUCUAAUAAGCCCCUGCAAUUGAUGGAGUUCAUCAUUAAGUUUUGUUUGCAAUUGUUCUACAUGCUUUAGUCCAUAGAUUUCCAGAAUGCGUCCUUCGAGUUUUAUUAGCACAUUUCAAAAAUAGAUGCUCUAUACUGCCCAAGGGAUAACCCACUUGAUUUCCCCCAAGCUUUAGAAAAUGAUCCCUGGUCUCCCUUGUCUUUGAGCAGUGUAAUUAGUUCGUGGUUAGUGGAUUUUGCUGCAUAAGGAUUAAAGUGCUUAGAAUCUUCGAAGGCAAAGUGUUUGAUAAAUUGUGAGGAUCCUAUUCUUGAUCGGAAAUAAAAUCAGCUUUUGAAGCAAUAUUGGGUGAUUCGAUGAAUCAAGCUUCUCAGCUAGUAGUAAUCAAAUCAGUUCCCUGCUUAAAUCAUAUGCUAAGGAAAGCUCCGUACAAGACUCAAAUCGAGAAACGAAAGUUUAACAGAAGAGUUGAUUAAUUUGGCCAGCAAUUGGGAAAUGUUUGCUGACAACUUCCCAAACUGUUCUAAUUAUAUGGGCAAACUUCCUUAAAAACAGGCAACCUAUGCUCUCGGAGUCGUUGUUGAGGUCUGUACCGAACACCAUUGAUGUAAGCUUCAGGAUUAGAGGAUGUUGAGGGAUUAGCUAAUGCAGGAAUGUCACUAGUGUUGAUAAUGUUAUCAUCCUGUGGUGUCCAAUCUGUCACUCCAGUAGUAGUUUGAACUGUACUCAGCGGUGCCUCCUAGCAAAAGAAUGCCACAACAUUGGAAGUCUCGUGAGGAGUGGCGGGUCAACAGAUGAAUAUAUAGUAAAACGAUAUAUACCUGGGGCUGUGUUAUGUGAUUGCUGCUGGUAAGAUAUACCCACGGAACAGUAGUUGCUGAGUUGAGUUGUUGAUCACUGGGGAUCAUCAUUGGUGCACCUGCUAAGAGUCAAGAACUAAGUUUGUUAGUGAAACUUACAUGAGGAGAUGAUGCUGAUACUGGAGAGCCGCAUGAAGACUGAGUUGGUACUUCGACUCGUACAGGCUGUCCUUGUUUUUGCUCUCCAACAGUUGAUCAAGUGAUUUUGAGCUUGAUUUAUCUAUUCAGAAAAAGUUCAGAAUAAAUAAAAGAAUGAACAAAAUGAGUUAAAGCAGCUAAACUUAAGCUAAUAGGGCAGUAGUAGCAGUAACAUGGCCUGAUUUCUUUCUCACUUACUCUGCAGGGCAAACUUCCUUAAAAACAGGCAACCUAUGCUCUCGGAGUCGUUGUUGAGGUCCGUACCGAACACCAUUGAUGUAAGCUUCAGGAUUAGAGGAUGUUGAGGGAUUAGCUAAUGCAGGAAUGUCACUAGUGUUGAUAAUGUUAUCAUCCUGUGGUGUCCAAUCUGUCACUCCAGUAGUAGUUUGAACUGUACUCAGCGGUGCCUCCUAGCACAAGAAUGCCACAACAUUGGAAGUCUCGUGAGAAGUGGCGGGUCAACAGAUGAAUAUAUAGUAAAACGAUAUAUACCUGGGGCUGUAUUAUGUGAUUGCUGCUGGUAAGAUAUACCCACGGAACAGUAGUUGCUGAGUUGAGUUGUUGAUCACUGGGGAUCAUCAUUGGUGCACCUGCUAAGGUAGAUGAUGCUGACUUGUUGAAACCACCAUUUGGAUGAACGUAAUGACAUUUCAAACCAAAUCGGCAUGAAUUUGUUCCUAUAUACGUGCAGACAACCUUCUCACUGGAUCUUCUCAAGUUUUCUGUUUCUGUAACCCGACUUAACUGCAUUUUAAAUCAACAUCUCAUAAAUUAAUUUAUGUCUGUAACUCUCUUGACCCACUGUACUAUGGUGCAGAGUCAAGAACUAAGUUUGUUAGUGAAACUUACAUGAGGAGAUGAUGCUGCUACUGGAGAGCCGAAUGAAGUCGGACUGAGUUGGUACUUCGACUCGUACAGGCUGUCCUUGUUUUUGCUCUCCAACAGUUGAUCAAGUGAUUUCAUGCUUGAUUUAGGAAGUUGUUGGUUUCUUCCUGAUCCAUUUGGUACAUCUAAUGAGGAUGAUGGUGUUGAUGAAGUCAUGAGAGUUGGUUUCAAGCUCUCCUUUUCCUGCCUUAACUGCAAAAGCAGCAACUCAACCACCAAUCAAGAAUGAUUACGUCCAACUCUCAUUGCCCACUACAGUAUGGUGCAGAAUCAAGAACCAAGUAUUACAGUGAAACUUACACGAGGAGAUGAUGAGAAUAGUGGGGAGCGGAGUGGAGUUGGAUUGGGUAGGAAUCUCAAACCAUAAGGACAGUGUUCCUUCAUGUUCUCCAAUGGUCGAACAGGCGACUCUGAGCUUGAUUUAGAAAUGGAUCGCUUUCCUCCUCUGCCAGAUCCAUCAAGUGAGGGUGGUGAUGUCGAUGAGGUCACAAUAAAGCCAUCCAUUACUAUUACAUCUUCUGCUGGUGAUGAAUGAUUAUAUCCUGUUGCCUGUGGUGAUCUUGAUGGAGGUGUUUGUGGUCAUCAGAUUCUCAUUUGAAUUGAGAGGUAAUGGAAAUGGUGGUGAUGAUGAAGGUGACAAAUUAAGGUUCUGAAACUGGCGAUCCAUCAUCACAUCAAGGAAUUGAUCAUCAUUCGUUAUUGUUAUUGAGUUGUUGUUCUGUAGAGAAGAUGGAGAUCUUAAUGAUUUUCCACUACUCAGAAACGUUUUCUGACUGUUGAAUUGAUGAUGAGGA